rnacentral:rRNA from 1 species
CCGGUAAAGAAUAUGUUAUAGAUCAAGCAAAUAACAGCCACAUAUUUCUGGAAUUUUAAAACUCUACAGAAAAUGGACUAAAUGCAGUUCUAUACAUGGCCUGUAGUGUUUAAUGCAAAACACAAUUGUACAGUUUAGUUCUAACAGAAGAACAUAGCCCAUGACGUGCGUGCAGGAAGAAAGCCAUGUCGGACCUGAGAUUUGAUGGUCUUUCAAAUUGACCAGCACAUAGCGAAUGUGAGUAUUGGAUAAGGCGCAUGAUCGAUUUAGAGGAGAACGAACAAUUCGCUACAAUCCUCAGGCCGCAUCGCCUUUUUCACCACAUCAUACUGCCAUGUUUCUGUGGCGCUCCAGUAUACAUGCUGGGAGGUCACGGCUGUACGCACAUGGAGCAUUGAGGACUAUACGGAUUUCAUAUAAUGCGAGGGUUAAAAUGAAAAAUAGCGGAAGAGAUAAGGAUCUCCUCUCCCGUAUGGUUCCUGGUCGGGAUUUCUCCCGUAACCGUUGCUGCCGCCCGGGAGGGGCUGGCCGCGCCGGGCACCGCAGCACUGCAGGCCGCCUGAAUGCGCCGUCGACGUUCCGUGCCGCAGGCCUUGCUGCAGUACCGCCGCCUCCGCUGAUUUCCUUAGGUGUCCGUGCCAUGGGAAACCACGCCAGAGGAUGCCUCGUGCCGGGCUCGGGCCUGGCCGGCCGUCGGGGGCGGGCUGCUCACAGUCAGCCGGAGGGAGAGCCCUCGCCAUCUCCGCCACGGGCAGGGCCGUGGCCGCAGGCACUCCAUGUCGGAUGCCGGGAGCCGCGUCGGGCGCUGCCUCGCCUCCAUCGGCCGCCUUCGCCGUCGCCAGGACGUAGAAGAUGCGGGUGCGCCGCUGUGGGCUCCGCCGCGAGCCGCGACGGGGAAGGCGCCGUGGUCCGCGCGCGGGAGGUCGAGGCCGGACUGUGCCCCGCCAUAGGCGCCCAGGCUCCGGUCGGGAGGCGGUGGCCACUCCGCCGUGCCUCGCGUAGCAGGCCGGGGUCGCUGAUGCGCCGCUGUCGGCCGUGCCGGAGAGAGCCGCAUAUGCGGCCACUGCUGACGGCGUCUGGGAGUAGGGGAAGGAGAGGGUGAGACCAAACCAUGCGCUGGAGGACACCGGGGUCGAGCGCCGGCGCCCGGGCUGCAUCGCCUCGUUGCCGGAAGAUGUCUCGCCACGAGCGCUCAAUGGACUCGUGGCCUCCUGCUCUCGCCAGAGCGUGCUGAUAACGUGUUUGAGUUUACCGAGAGAAGCGAGAGACAAAGCAUCUGAUUCAAGUGUGUAAAUCUUUAUUGAUGAUCUCAUUUAUAUACAGGUACGAGGG